rnacentral:rRNA from 1 species
CUGGAGGUAUCAGAAGUGCGAAUGCUGACAUAAGUAACGAUAAAGCGGGUGAAAAGCCCGCUCGCCGGAAGACCAAGGGUUCCUGUCCAACGUUAAUCGGGGCAGGGUGAGUCGACCCCUAAGGCGAGGCCGAAAGGCGUAGUCGAUGGGAAACAGGUUAAUAUUCCUGUACUUGGUGUUACUGCGAAGGGGGGACGGAGAAGGCUAUGUUGGCCGGGCGACGGUUGUCCCGGUUUAAGCGUGUAGGCUGGUUUUCCAGGCAAAUCCGGAAAAUCAAGGCUGAGGCGUGAUGACGAGGCACUACGGUGCUGAAGCAACAAAUGCCCUGCUUCCAGGAAAAGC